rnacentral:lncRNA from 1 species
CGCUCGCACGCUCGCACGCUCGCCCGCCCGCCCGCCUCCCCACACCCGGGCAUCCCCGCCGCUGGUGUGCAGUGCGAGGCCCGGGGGUCAGGCAGACCCCAGCCAGGCCGAGCCCCAGGGCAGACCCCAGCCCAGGCCACCCCAAAGCAGACCCUAGGACAGACCCAAGGCAGAUCCCAGCCCCAGGACAGACCCCAGGCCCAGGCCACCCCAAAGCAGACCCAGGCCCAGGGCAGACCCCAGGACAGACCCCAGCCAGGCCCAGGUAGCUCCCAGCCCCAGGGUAGACCCCAGCCCAGGCCACCCCAAGGCAGCCCCAGGGCAGACCCCAGCACCAGGGCACCCCAAGGCAGAUCCCAGCCCAGACCCAAGGCUCAGACCCAAAGCAGACCCCAGCCCAGGCCACCCCAAGGCAGACCCCAGGCCCCAGGGCAGGCUUGUUAGGUUCCUGCUGUGCACUGGAAUUUGCUAUCAGUCCACAAUCACUCCAGGCAAUUGCUGAACUUGUCACCUUUUCCGAGUUUGUAGUUUGCACUGUUCUGAAGUCUGGUUCCGUGUUGGGGACUGGUUUAUCGGUUAGAAAGUCGUUGGAAGUUAACUUCGGGGAACGCCCUAGCAGUGUGCUGAUUUGACUUAGCUAUAGAAGUAACUUAAGUUACUCUGUGGCUUUGGAGGCUGUCCUGGAACUAGCUCUUGUAGACCAGGCUGGUCUCGAAAAACCAAAAAAAAAAAAAAAAAAGUAACUAAGUUACUUUCCACGCGAACGGGAUAAGCGUACUUUGAAGCAGCUAUAGGAAAUGGUAGCCAAGAAACUGAGGACCAGGGCAGGAAACUGCAUUCGAAAAUAUGUGGGUCAGGCUACGAGAUCGUAUCUUUUCGUGAUGCUGUUCGGCCCACUGUGUUUGGCUAAUUUACAUAAUCACCCUUUAGGCUGUAAUUUCGGUUAAAGUUAAAAUAGCAAUAUGUCAUCUAUUAUUCCAUAUUGGUUAGAAAAUUAUGUCAGGAAAGCCAGCAGUUUGCUGAGUAAAUUACUUACAAGGUGGAGGGAGGCUUAAAAUAUACAAUUGUUAGACGUUUCCAAGACUCAUUCGUUUUAGCUUCUGCAAAAUCUUCUACUUGUUAAGUAAAUUAUGUAAAUUUGCCUCACAUAAUUGCAUUGCGUGAAGAGCCUUCUGAAAUUUCUUUUUGAUGUUAAGUAUUGGAAGUUUCUUCACCGCCAGAAUAAGUUAUUAUGUUUCAUGGAGAAAGAAAUGUUUGAUUCUGUUUACUUUCCUUCUGGGCCACAGCUAGGUUGUGAAGAUUGAUCCAGGAGACUGCAUUAAUUUCAGGAGUUGAUUGAAAAGACACUGGCUCUGCCACUAGCAGCCAUGUAACCUUGGGUAAGUCACUUACACCUCACUGAGUUGCCUUAUUUAUAAACUAUGACACGGUUGUAAGUAGACGCAGAGAAUUCUGGAGAUCUAGUACAGGGAGAUGUUUGUUGCUGCCUACAUAUAGACCUGUUUCUCUCCUCCGUGUCCACCUUGUUCACCUUGAGGAUGGAACUUGGUGUACUAGAGAAAGCCUGGUUUGAGAACACCACUGGCAUGGAGUCCAGUUCUUUAACCAGAUACUAGCUCUCAUCUGUGAGCCUCAGAUGUGUUACUUUGCACCUCGGUCUCACAAGAAGGGACUGGAUACCAGCAAUUAAAGGAAUGUUACAGGAAAUGGAUGAAGGCCCUACUCUGUGAGUUCACUGCUCAAGGACAGUGGUUUCCACAUAGUGCUGGGCUUGGGUGUGUCAUAAACUACACU